rnacentral:tRNA from 1 species
UUUUUUAUAGUUUAAAAAAAACAUUAUAUUUUCAAUAUAAAAUUAGAUAUAAUCUUAAAAAAA